CUCUCCACUUCCUGCUACUGCAGGCCUCUCCUCCGAGAACAGAGGCCAGGUCAUGACUCACUGGCUUCCUGCAACCUGAGGAUGGCCCAGCCAGAAGACAAGGCACCUGAAGUCCCCACAGAGGGGGUGAGGUGAGGCUACUAGGGCUGAGGCUAUGCCCUCCUUCCCCUGCAUCCAGAAACCCUUUCCAUCCAAUACCUCCCUCACUACAGAAUCCUGAAUCACAUCUCUGAGCCUCUGCCCUGGGCCUGCCCCUUCCUGUACCUUUGACCUCACCUCAUUGUCCCACUGCCCACCUCUGACCCCUGACUCCCUGGGCACUGUCCAUCCCAGGCUGGUCCCACCACAGGUGAACAAAGCAGACAGGACCCCUCUAGGGGUCCUCAGCACCCUAGAGCCACUUAUUCGCCUGCAGAGGACAUGGGGGGUGUGGCAUGUGCCAGAGCUGGAUACCCAGGAUGCGGAGGCCCUUGUGGGGCUGUGGCCACUAGGGAGUUUCUUGGUCACAGGACGUGACCCCAGCCAGGCCCUGGUGUUGAGGUCAGGACCUUUACCAGGAGAAGUCAACACCUACCAGAUCCAGAAGAUUCCCAGAG
rnacentral:sRNA from 1 species